GCGGAAGUACCCAAGAGGCCGAAGGGGCUCCCCUGCUAAGGGAGUAGGACGUGUAAAAAGCGUCGCGGAGGUUCAAAUCCUCUCUUCCGCGCCA
rnacentral:tRNA from 2 species